rnacentral:rRNA from 1 species
CCCUUAGAUGUCCUGGGCCGCACGCGCGCUACACUGAUGCAUGCAACGAGUUUAUAACCUUGGCCUGAAAGGUCUGGGUAAUCUUUUGAACGUGCAUCGUGAUAGGGAUAGAUUAUUGCAAUUGUUAAUCUUGAACGAGGAAUUCCUAGUAAACGCGAGUCAUCAGCCCGCAUUGAUUACGUCCCUGCCCUUUGUACACACCGCCCGUCGCACCUACCGAUUGAAUGUUUCGGUGAAGAUUCCGGAUAGGACUGAUUUGAUUUAUUUCAUUUCUGACCUAAAAGCUAUCUAAACCUCAACAUUUAGAGGAAGGUGAAGUCGUAACA